GCAGCCAAGCGGUGGAGAAAUGGUCGGAAAAAACAGUCAAACUACGGGGAAAACUAAUGUUUGAGUCGUCGCUUGGUUUGUUAGCGCUGUGAAGAACUUCAUUACUGAAGAAGUCAGGAUGCUGGAGCUGUUUUUGUCAACACGAGUGAGGUUGGACGCUGAAGGUCUGCUUGUUCUGCUGUCGCAACCUGGACGGAAAUAGCAGCUCUCACUUUACAGACUAUAGAGGUGUCACCACUUUGUCCACAAACAUAGAGUGUCUUUGUACAUUGAAGAAGUUCUUUGAGACCAGGACAGAGACCUCCAGGAUUCAACCAUUAAAUCACAGAGAGACAGACGUGAAGACAUUUCUAGAAGGUUUUCAGCUGCCGUCAUCUACUCCUGCAGAGACAAGAACAUGUGUUAAUCAUACAUCUCAGCAUCACAUAUUUUACUGUUUUACUGUUACUGUUUUUUUUUCUAUUAUUAUAGUCACAGUAAUG